GUCUCUUCGGGGAUGAUUAAACCGGCGCACGGGUGAGUAACACGUGAGUGACCUGCCUUUUAGACUGGAACAACUUACCGAAAGGUGAGCUAAUGCCGGAUGAGUUAUAUAAGUGCAUGUUUAUAUAGGAAAAGUUGGGGAGACCUGACGCUGAAAGAUGGACUCGCGUCCCAUUAGCUAGUUGGUAGGGUAAUGGCCUACCAAGGCGACGAUGGGUAGCCGGCCUGAGAGGGUGGCCGGCCACACUGGGACUGAGACACGGCCCAGACUCCUACGGGAGGCAGCAGUGGGGAAUUUUGCGCAAUGCUCGUAAGAGUGACGCAGCGACGCCGCGUGAAUGACGAAGGCCUUCGGGUCGUAAAGUUCUUUCGACAGGGAAGAAAAUGCCUAUAAGUAACUGUGUAUGUAUUGACGGUACCUGUAUAAGCAGCCCCGGCUAACUCCGUGCCAGCAGCCGCGGUAAUACGGAGGGGGCGAGCGUUGUUCGGAGUGACUGGGCGUAAAGAGCACGUAGGCGGUGUUGUAAGUCAUUAGUCAAAGACUAGAGCUCAACUUUAGUAAGGCUAGUGAUACUAUAAUACUAGAGUAUCAGAGAGGAUUGCAGAAUUCCUGGUGUAGCGGUGAAAUGCGUAGAUAUCAGGAGGAAUACCGUUAGCGAAGGCGGCAAUCUGGCUGGAAACUGACGCUGAGGUGCGAAAGCGUGGGUAGCAAACAGGAUUAGAUACCCUGGUAGUCCACGCUGUAAACGAUGGAUGCU
rnacentral:rRNA from 1 species